rnacentral:rRNA from 1 species
UGAUUAGAAGCUUGCUUCUAUGACGUUAGCGGCGGACGGGUGAGUAACACGUGGGCAACCUGCCUGUAAGACUGGGAUAACUUCGGGAAACCGAAGCUAAUACCGGAUAGGAUCUUCUCCUUCAUGGGAGAUGAUUGAAAGAUGGUUUCGGCUAUCACUUACAGAUGGGCCCGCGGUGCAUUAGCUAGUUGGUGAGGUAACGGCUCACCAAGGCAACGAUGCAUAGCCAACCUGAGAGGGUGAUCGGCCACACUGGGACUGAGACACGGCCCAGACUCCUACGGGAGGCAGCAGUAGGGAAUCUUCCGCAAUGGACGAAAGUCUGACGGAGCAACGCCGCGUGAGUGAUGAAGGCUUUCGGGUCGUAAAACUCUGUUGUUAGGGAAGAACAAGUACGAGAGUAACUGCUUGUACCUUGACGGUACCUAACCAGAAAGCCACGGCUAACUACGUGCCAGCAGCCGCGGUAAUACGUAGGUGGCAAGCGUUAUCCGGAAUUAUUGGGCGUAAAGCGCGCGCAGGCGGUUUCUUAAGUCUGAUGUGAAAGCCCACGGCUCAACCGUGGAGGGUCAUUGGAAACUGGGGAACUUGAGUGCAGAAGAGAAAAGCGGAAUUCCACGUGUAGCGGUGAAAUGCGUAGAGAUGUGGAGGAACACCAGUGGCGAAGGCGGCUUUUUGGUCUGUAACUGACGCUGAGGCGCGAAAGCGUGGGGAGCAAACAGGAUUAGAUACCCUGGUAGUCCACGCCGUAAACGAUGAGUGCUAAGUGUUUAGAGGGUUUCCGCCCCUUUAGUGCUGCAGCUAACGCAUUAAGCACUCCGCCCGGGGGAGUACGGUCCGCAAGACUGAAAACUCAAAGGAAAUUGACGGGGGGCCCGCCACAAGCGGUGGAAGCAUGUGGGUUUAAUUCGGAAGCAACGCGGAAGAACCUUUACCAGGUCUUGGACAUCCUUCUGACAACUC